UUACGGCUAUACCACGUUGAAACACCGAUCCUCGUACGAUCAUCGGAGUUAAGCAACGUCGACCCUGGUCAGUACCUAGAUAGGUGACCGCUUUGGGAAUACCACCUGCUGUAAG